rnacentral:rRNA from 1 species
AGGACGAACGCUGGCGGCGUGCUUAACACAUGCAAGUCGAACGGAAAGGCCCUUUCGGGGGUACUCGAGUGGCGAACGGGUGAGUAACACGUGGGUGAUCUGCCCUGCACUUCGGGAUAAGCCUGGGAAACUGGGUCUAAUACCGGAUAGGACUACGGGAUGCAUGUCCUGUGGUGGAAAGCUUUUGCGGUGUGGGAUGGGCCCGCGGCCUAUCAGCUUGUUGGUGGGGUGAUGGCCUACCAAGGCGACGACGGGUAGCCGGCCUGAGAGGGUGUCCGGCCACACUGGGACUGAGAUACGGCCCAGACUCCUACGGGAGGCAGCAGUGGGGAAUAUUGCACAAUGGGCGCAAGCCUGAUGCAGCGACGCCGCGUGGGGGAUGAAGGCCUUCGGGUUGUAAACCUCUUUCAGUAUUGGCGAAGUUCCGGGUUUCUCCGGGUGACGGUAGGUACAGAAGAAGCACCGGCCAACUACGUGCCAGCAGCCGCGGUAA